rnacentral:rRNA from 1 species
AACGAACGCUGACGGCGUGCUUAACACAUGCAAGUCGCACGAGAAUUUCCGCCUUCGGGUGGAAUAGUAAAGUGGCGCACGGGUGAGUAACGCGUGGAUAAUCUGCCCUCAAGUAGGGAAUAACAUUGCGAAAGCGAUGCUAAUACCGUAUAAGCUCACGAUUUGACUAGUUGUGGGAAAAGAUGGCCUAGUCUAUGCUAUCGCUUGAAGAUGAGUCCGCGUACCAUUAGCUAGUUGGUAGGGUAAUGGCCUACCAAGGCUACGAUGGUUAGCUGGCCUUAACGGGCGGCCAGACACACCGGAACUGAGACACGGUCCAGACUCCUACGGGAGGCAGCAGUGGGGAAUAUUGCGCAAUGGGGGAAACCCUGACGCAGCGACGCCGUGUGAGUGAUGAAGGUUUUCGGAUCGUAAAGCUCUGUCGGGUGGAAAGAAUAAAGGCUGUGUAAAUAAUGCAGUCUGAUGACGGUACCACCAAAGGAAGCACCGGCUAACUCCGUGCCAGCCGCCGCUGUAA